rnacentral:piRNA from 1 species
UAAACCUCAGUAUGGCUGGAAUUCAUGGU